GAUGAACGCUAGCGACAGGCCUAACACAUGCAAGUCGAGGGGCAGCGAGGAUGUAGCAAUACAUUUGUCGGCGACCGGCGCACGGGUGAGUAACGCGUAUGCAACCUACCCGACACAGGGGGAUAACCCGGAGAAAUCCGGACUAAUACCGCAUAAAACAGGGGUCCCGCAUGGGAAUAUUUGUUAAAGAGUUAUCGGUGUCGGAUGGGCAUGCGUUCCAUUAGCUAGUUGGUGAGGUAACGGCUCACCAAGGCAACGAUGGAUAGGGGUUCUGAGAGGAAGGUCCCCCACACUGGUACUGAGACACGGACCAGACUCCUACGGGAGGCAGCAGUGAGGAAUAUUGGUCAAAUGGACGGAAGUCUGAACCAGCCAAGUCGCGUGAAGGAAGACGGUUCUAUGAAUUGUAAACUUCUUUUGUCGGGGAGUAAAGUCAGCUACGUGUAGCUGUUUGCAAGUACCCGUAAGAAAAAAGCAUCGGCUAAACUCCGUGCCAGCAGCCGCGGU
rnacentral:rRNA from 1 species